rnacentral:rRNA from 1 species
UCAGUUAUCGUUUAUUUGAUAGUACCUUACUACUUGGAUAACCGUGGUAAUUCUAGAGCUAAUACAUGCUAAAAACCCCGACUCCGGGAGGGGUGUAUUUAUUAGAUAAAAAGCCAAUGCCCUCCGGGGCUCCCUGGUGAUUCAUAAUAACUCAACGAAUCGCAUGGCCUUGCGCCGGCGAUGGUUCAUUCAAAUUUCUGCCCUAUCAACUUUCGAUGGUAGGAUAGUGGCCUACCAUGGUAUCUACGGGUAACGGGGAAUUAGGGUUCUAUUCCGGAGAGGGAGCCUGAGAAACGGCUACCACAUCCAAGGAAGGCAGCAGGCGCGCAAAUUACCCAAUCCCGACGCGGGGAGGUAGUGACAAUAAAUACUGAUACAGGGCUCUUUCGGGUCUUGUAAUUGGAAUGAGUACAAUUUAAAUCCCUUAACGAGGAACAAUUGGAGGGCAAGUCUGGUGCCAGCAGCCGCGGUAAUUCCAGCUCCAAUAGCGUAUAUUAAAGUUGUUGCAGUUAAAAAGCUCGUAGUUGAAACUUGGGCCUGGCUGGCCGGUCCGCCUCACCGCGUGCACUGGUCCGGCCGGGCCUUUCCUUCUGGGGAGCCGCAUGCCCUUCAUUGGGUGUGCCGGGGAACCAGGACUUUUACUUUGAAAAAAUUAGAGUGUUCAAAGCAGGCCUAUGCUCGGAUACAUUAGCAUGGAAUAAUAGAAUAGGACGUGUGGUUCUAUUUUGUUGGUUUCUAGGACCGCCGUAU